rnacentral:siRNA from 1 species
UGGUGAAGUUUAACUGCAACAACA